GCCGGAACUGUACGGAAAUGUAAAAUCAAUAGGAACGUGUCACGCGUCGUACAAAAAGAUCUUUUUAAUAUUUAGAUGUAUUCGAUAAGAGUGAGAAUAAAUAGCGUCGACUGAUAAAGACGUCUUUCUGAAACGUUGUGAAUGAUAACAACUUGCACCAGUUUUUAUGUGCUUCGACCGUACUGACACCUAACUCAUUGAACAAAACUUGAAAACGUACAUGCUUUUUAACGUAACUCGAUGGUUUUCCGAUCGAUUGAUAGUUUCGUAACGUUUCAGUUACUUCUGGCGUAACUAACCUGUCUUCCAGUUCCAAAGUGGCUCACGCUAUGGAUUAUUGUAACGGAGCGUAAUGUUGCUUUAAAUUUCGUAGUUUAUGUCGUUGUUGCUUGAAAAAUCAAUUUUCCUUAAAAGAGGCUGUUGACCAGUGAAGUCAAAGUUGAAGUGAAGGUGAAAGUGAAUACAUAUGGUAAAAUUGAAACAUAGCCGAUUUAAAAUCUCAUUGAUAACCGGAAUUUUAACAAUAUCAUGUACAAGUUUUUCAAUAGAUGCGAUAGAUACGAACAACUUUAUAUCUGAAUUUUUUCAAUCAUAAUAGUCGGCAAGUAAAUAAUUAUAAUAAAUGCUUAUUUGCGAUAUUAAAGAUAAUUAUUCGUACCUUA